rnacentral:rRNA from 1 species
UACGAAGGGGGCUAGCGUUGUUCGGAUUUACUGGGCGUAAAGCGCACGUAGGCGGAUCUUUAAGUCAGGGGUGAAAUCCCGAGGCUCAACCUCGGAACUGCCUUUGAUACUGGGGAUCUCGAGUCCGGGAGAGGUGAGUGGAACUGCGAGUGUAGAGGUGAAAUUCGUAGAGUAUUCGCAAGAACACCAGUGGCGAAGGCGGCUCACUGGCCCGAUACUGACGCUGAGGUGCGAAAGCGUGGGGAGCAAACAGG